GACGAACGCUGGCGGCGUGCUUAACACAUGCAAGUCGAACGGGCCUUGUCCCCUUUUUUUUUGGGGGUGGGGUUAGUGGCGAACGGGUGGGUAACACGUGAGUAACCUGCCCCUCACUUCUGGAUAACCGCUUGAAAGGGUGGCUAAUACGGGGUGUUCUGGCCUGCUCGCAUGGGUGGGUUUGGAAAGAUUCGACCGGUUUUGGUUGUUUUGGUGGGGGAUGGGCUCGCGGCCUAUCAGCUUGUUGGUGGGGUGAUGGCCUGCCAAGGCUUUGACGGGUAGCCGGCCUGAGAGGGUGGGCGGUCACACUGGGACUGAGACACGGCCCAGACUCCUACGGGAGGCAGCAGUGGGGAAUAUUGCACAAUGGGCGCAAGCCUGAUGCAGCGACGCCGCGUGAGGGAUGGAGGCCUUCGGGUUGUGAACCUCUUUCGCCAGUGAAGAAGGUCCUGCUCUUUGUGGUGGGGUUGACGGUAGCUGGGUUAAUGAAGCGCCGGCUAACUACGUG
rnacentral:rRNA from 1 species